rnacentral:lncRNA from 10 species
GAGAUUUAAACCCAGAACUGUCUACUGCCAAAGCUUUUGCGCUCUCCCUCGUGCCACGUUGCUUCUCAUUUUGGGCUUGGUCUCCACUUCCCAGUCCUUGAAGGAGUUCUCCAGGUCUGCCCCAUUAGCACUGCAUCUCAGAAGGAAGCUGCAGCUGCGCCGCCAAUCUCCCGGUGCCCUAACAGUUCAGCUGAGCUGAAAGGAUGAGGAGGAAGCCCUUGGCGAUGGAACUUCUAGACAAGCCAAGGCCUGCCUGGCAGAGCUGGGAGCAGAUUGAGGAAGACACCACUGCCCCUCCACCCACCCCGCCGCCGCCUUCAUGUUGCCUUGAUCUUCUAUCCUCAGCUGACAUUUUUGUCGCUCAUCUCUGAUUGAAGAAACCUCAGUUUCUUAUUUGAUCUUUCCUGGACAACCGUUUAAUAGGCAGCAAGAAAAAGAGAUGAGAGAAAGUGAUUUUUCAUCCCUGACUUGACAUGAUAUUUUCCUUUUAACAAUUUAUCCAUACCUCUCCUCUCAGUUUCUCUCCUUUCAUAUACUCACAUACUAUCUGCCUCUCUGCAUAGCAAAGCAACCUUUUGAGCAGUUCUCUAAGAAGAUUCUAAAAAGCAAGGAAAAAGCAGGAUCACAAUAGCUCCUUCCCCAGUUCAAUUCAGCAAGCUUUUCUGAGCACCAGUCCAGAUGCAAGGCACAAUGAGAGGCAAGAUGAAGAAUGGGGGUUACUCUAUCCUCAUCGGACCAAUUUAGAAUCCAGUACAUGCACAUACAGGAAAAAUCCAAUGUGUUCAUCAUCUGUGUGUUCCAUAAUCAUUUACUGAGCACCUUUUAUCAAAAAGAGAAACCAUUUUUAAAGUAAACUGGAUUCUCUAUUAUAACAACAGUGAAGUUUGGCAAAAUGUUUUCCUCAUGUGAAGGCUUGAAUUUAAAGAAUUUUAAUUUAUGUUCAUUAUGAUUCAAUCCAACAUUUGUCUUUUUGUAUGUAUUAGAUCUUGCGAGGGACACAAAGAUAAUCAAGUUGUGGAUCUAGGUCUUAAGACGUAUAAAAUUGAGUGGGUCUAUGUCUUCCAAUACACAAAGUCAAGUGGAGAGACAUAAAUAACACUAACUUCAGUGCAAUGUAUACUAAAGGAUACGGAAUGACUUAUUCAGCAGCUACUAUGUGCCUGGUGCUUUACCCAUAUGAUUAAUAAAGCAUCUUUUGGUGAUA